rnacentral:rRNA from 1 species
AAUUAUAUGUUAUUAUGUAUAACUCUUUCUGCUCCAUGGGACACUAAAUAGCCGCAGUACCCUGACUGUGCAAAGGUAGCAUAAUCAGUUGACUUAUAAUUGAAGUCUGGAAUGAAUGAAUAAACGGGCAGCGACUGUCUAAGAGGGACGAAUAGGAAAUUAAUUAUCAAGUGCAAAUGCUUGAGAAACUAAAAUAGACGAGAAGACCCUAGAAACUUUAUAUUUUGUUGGGGCGACAGAAUUACAUGGAACUAAUUUUAUUGUUACGUGAAUCAAAGAAGAAAGGAGAAGUUACUCUAGGGAUAACAGCAUAAUUUAUUAUAGUUUGUGACCUCGAUGUUGGACUAGGUAAUAUAGUUUUUAGAAGAAACUAUUAGUUGCUCUGUUCGAGCAGUUUUACCUACAU